GUCGUCUUCACCGAGGAGGGGACCUCACCACCCUCUCCCCGAACGGCCUCCCACACCGUCUCGAGGCGUUCUCCUUUGGGCUCUAUGACGUGACUAAGCUCUGCUGUAGGCUCCCGUGAGGCAUUUAGGGUAGUACGUACUGCUGCUCAGAGAAUGCCCUUACUUGGCCCUUCUGAAGGAUUUCACCAGGAAUCGCAGCUCGAUGGAAAUUUCACUCUAAAUACGGUAGUGGAUGCACCCCUCGGUCGGAGCUGAGGGUGCAGUCGACGUUUUUCUACACGAGAUGGAGCUAAAGAGUACAGCGCCCCCGCGAUUGGUGGUGACACGAUGAAAAAGGAGUUUGGGCAGAAGGUGCAUUUUUUUUUUUUUUU